rnacentral:rRNA from 1 species
UACGUAGGGGGCAAGCGUUGUCCGGAUUUAUUGGGCGUAAAGAGCGUGUAGGCGGUCUGGUAGGUCCGUUGUGAAAACUCGAGGCUCAACCUCGAGACGCCGAUGGAAACCCUCAGACUAGAGUCCGGAAGAGGAGAGUGGAAUUCCUGGUGUAGCGGUGAAAUGCGCAGAUAUCAGGAAGAACACCCGUGGCUAAGGCGGCUUUCUGGUCUGUAACUGACGCUGAGGCGCGAAAGCGUGGGGAGCAAACAGG